AAAAUACUCCCUCCGUCUCAAAAUUCUUGUCUUAGAUUUGUCUAGAUAUGGAUGUAUCUAACACUAAAAUGUAACUAGAUACAUCCGUAUUUAGACAAAUCUAAGACAAGAAUUUUGGGAUGGGGGGAGUAGAUA
rfam:Triticum aestivum genome assembly, contig: Triticum_aestivum_CS42_TGACv1_scaffold_225891_3B